UACGAGGGGGGCGAGCGUUGUUCGGAAUUAUUGGGCGUAAAGGGUGCGUAGGCGGUUUGGUAAGUCAGGUGUGAAAUUUCGGAGCUUAACUCCGAAACUGCAUUUGAUACUGCGGUGCUUGAGGACUGGAGAGGAGACUGGAAUUUACGGUGUAGCAGUGAAAUGCGUAGAGAUCGUAAGGAAGACCAGUGGCGAAGGCGGGUCUCGUGGACAGUUCCUGACACUGAGGCACGAAGGCCAGGGGAGCAAACGGG
rnacentral:rRNA from 1 species